UACGUAGGGUGCGAGCGUUGUCCGGAAUUACUGGGCGUAAAGAGCUCGUAGGUGGUUUGUCGCGUUGUUCGUGAAAACUCACAGCUCAACUGUGGGCGUGCGGGCGAUACGGGCAGACUGGAGUACUGCAGGGGAGACUGGAAUUCCUGGUGUAGCGGUGAAAUGCGCAGAUAUCAGGAGGAACACCGGUGGCGAAGGCGGGUCUCUGGGCAAUAACUGACGCUGAGGAGCGAAAGCGUGGGGAGCGAACAGG
rnacentral:rRNA from 1 species